GGUUAAGCGACUAAGCGUACACGGUGGAUGCCCUGGCAGUCAGAGGCGAUGAAGGACGUGCUAAUCUGCGAAAAGCGACGGCGAGGUGAUAUGAACCUUUGACCCGUCGAUGUCCGAAUGGGGAAACCCAGUGCAAUUCGUUGCACUAUCGUUAACUGAAUACAUAGGUUAACGAGGCGAACCGGGGGAACUGAAACAUCUAAGUACCCCGAGGAAAAGAAAUCAACCGAGAUUCCCCCAGUAGCGGCGAGCGAACGGGGAGCAGCCCGGAGUCUGAAUCAGCUUGUGUGUUAGUGGAACGGUCUGGAAAGUCCGACGGUACAGGGUGAUAGUCCCGUACACGAAAGCACACAUGCUGUGAACUCGAAGAGUAGGGCGGGACACGUGGUAUCCUGUCUGAAUAUGGGGGGACCAUCCUCCAAGGCUAAAUACUCCUGACUGACCGAUAGUGAACCAGUACCGUGAGGGAAAGGCGAAAAGAACCCCGGCGAGGGGAGUGAAAAAGAACCUGAAACCGUGUACGUACAAGCAGUGGGAGCCUCUUUAUGGGGUGACUGCGUACCUUUUGUAUAAUGGGUCAGCGACUUAUAUUCUGUAGCAAGGUUAACCGUAUAGGGGAGCCGAAGGGAAACCGAGUCUUAACUGGGCGUUAAGUUGCAGGGUAUAGACCCGAAACCCGGUGAUCUAGCCAUGGGCAGGUUGAAGGUUGGGUAACACUAACUGGAGGACCGAACCGACUAAUGUUGAAAAAUUAGCGGAUGACCUGUGGCUGGGGGUGAAAGGCCAAUCAAACCGGGAGAUAGCUGGUUCUCCCCGAAAGCUAUUUAGGUAGCGCCUCGUGAAUUCAUCUUCGGGGGUAGAGCACUGUUUCGGCUAGGGGGCCAUCCCGGCUUACCAACCCGAUGCAAACUACGAAUACCGAAGAAUGUUAUCACGGGAGACACACGGCGGGUGCUAACGUCCGUCGUGAAGAGGGAAACAACCCAGACCGCCAGCUAAGGUCCCAAAGUCAUGGUUAAGUGGGAAACGAUGUGGGAAGGCACAGACAGCCAGGAUGUUGGCUUAGAAGCAGCCAUCAUUUAAAGAAAGCGUAAUAGCUCACUGGUCGAGUCGGCCUGCGCGGAAGAUGUAACGGGGCUAAACCAUGCACCGAAGCUGCGGCAGCGACGCUUAUGCGUUGUUGGGUAGGGGAGCGUUCUGUAAGCCGUUGAAGGUGUGCCGUGAGGCAUGCUGGAGGUAUCAGAAGUGCGAAUGCUGACAUAAGUAACGAUAAAGCGGGUGAAAAGCCCGCUCGCCGGAAGACCAAGGGUUCCUGUCCAACGUUAAUCGGGGCAGGGUGAGUCGACCCCUAAGGCGAGGCCGAAAGGCGUAGUCGAUGGGAAACAGGUUAAUAUUCCUGUACUUGGUGUUACUGCGAAGGGGGGACGGAGAAGGCUAUGUUAGCCGGGCGACGGUUGUCCCGGUUUAAGCAUGUAGGCGGAGGUUCCAGGUAAAUCCGGUACCUUUUAACGCUGAGGUGUGAUGACGAGGCACUACGGUGCUGAAGUAACAAAUGCCCUGCUUCCAGGAAAAGCCUCUAAGCAUCAGGUAACACGAAAUCGUACCCCAAACCGACACAGGUGGUCAGGUAGAGAAUACCAAGGCGCUUGAGAGAACUCGGGUGAAGGAACUAGGCAAAAUGGUGCCGUAACUUCGGGAGAAGGCACGCUGAUAUGUAGGUGAAGCCCCUGCGGGUGGAGCUGAAAUCAGUCGAAGAUACCAGCUGGCUGCAACUGUUUAUUAAAAACACAGCACUGUGCAAACACGAAAGUGGACGUAUACGGUGUGACGCCUGCCCGGUGCCGGAAGGUUAAUUGAUGGGGUUAGCGGCAACGCGAAGCUCUUGAUCGAAGCCCCGGUAAACGGCGGCCGUAACUAUAACGGUCCUAAGGUAGCGAAAUUCCUUGUCGGGUAAGUUCCGACCUGCACGAAUGGCGUAAUGAUGGCCAGGCUGUCUCCACCCGAGACUCAGUGAAAUUGAACUCGCUGUGAAGAUGCAGUGUACCCGCGGCAAGACGGAAAGACCCCGUGAACCUUUACUAUAGCUUGACACUGAACACUGGUCCUUGAUGUGUAGGAUAGGUGGGAGGCUUUGAAGCGUGGACGCCAGUCUGCGUGGAGCCGUCCUUGAAAUACCACCCUUUAAUGGCUGGUGUUCUAACGUUGACCCGUAAUCCGGGUUGCGGACAGUGUCUGGUGGGUAGUUUGACUGGGGCGGUCUCCUCCCAAAGAGUAACGGAGGAGCACGAAGGUUAGCUAAUCCUGGUCGGACAUCAGGAGGUUAGUGCAAUGGCAUAAGCUAGCUUGACUGCGAGAGUGACGGCUCGAGCAGGUGCGAAAGCAGGUCAUAGUGAUCCGGUGGUUCUGAAUGGAAGGGCCAUCGCUCAACGGAUAAAAGGUACUCCGGGGAUAACAGGCUGAUACCGCCCAAGAGUUCAUAUCGACGGCGGUGUUUGGCACCUCGAUGUCGGCUCAUCACAUCCUGGGGCUGAAGUAGGUCCCAAGGGUAUGGCUGUUCGCCAUUUAAAGUGGUACGCGAGCUGGGUUUAGAACGUCGUGAGACAGUUCGGUCCCUAUCUGCCGUGGGCGCUGGAGAAUUGAGGGGGGCUGCUCCUAGUACGAGAGGACCGGAGUGGACGCAUCACUGGUGUUCGGGUUGUCAUGCCAAUGGCACUGCCCGGUAGCUAAAUGCGGAAGAGAUAAGUGCUGAAAGCAUCUAAGCACGAAACUUGCCCCGAGAUGAGUUCUCCCUGAGACUUUAAGUCUCCUGAAGGAACGUUGAAGACGACGACGUUGAUAGGUCGGGUGUGUAAGCGCAGCGAUGCGUUGAGCUAACCGAUACUAAUGAACCGUGAGGCUUAACCUU
rnacentral:rRNA from 1 species